rnacentral:rRNA from 1 species
AUUGAACGCUGGUGGCAUGCUUUACACAUGCAAGUCGAACGGUAACAGGCCUUCGGGUGCUGACGAGUGGCGAACGGGUGAGUAAUGCAUCGGAACGUACCCAGAGGUGGGGGAUAACGCAGCGAAAGCUGUGCUAAUACCGCAUGUGAUCUGAGGAUGAAAGCGGGGGACCGAGCAGCAAUGUUUGGCCUCGCGCCUUUGGAGCGGCCGAUGUCGGAUUAGCUAGUUGGUGGGGUAAAGGCCUACCAAGGCGACGAUCCGUAGCUGGUCUGAGAGGACGACCAGCCACACUGGGACUGAGACACGGCCCAGACUCCUACGGGAGGCAGCAAUGGGGAAUUUUGGACAAUGGGCGCAAGCCUGAUCCAGCAAUGCCGCGUGCGGGAAGAAGGCCUUCGGGUUGUAAACCGCUUUUGGCAGGAACGAAACGGUGUCCGCUAAUACCGGGCGCUAAUGACGGUACCUGCAGAAUAAGCACCGGCUAACUACGUG